rnacentral:rRNA from 1 species
ACGUAGGGGGCAAGCGUUAUCCGGAUUUACUGGGUGUAAAGGGAGCGUAGGCGGCCAUGCAAGUCAGAAGUGAAAGCCCGGGGCUCAACCCCGGGACUGCUUUUGAAACUGUAAGGCUAGAUUGCCGGAGAGGUAAGCGGAAUUCCUAGUGUAGCGGUGAAAUGCGUAGAUAUUAGGAGGAACACCAGUGGCGAAGGCGGCUUACUGGACGGUGAAUGACGCUGAGGCUCGAAAGCGUGGGGAGCAAACAG